rnacentral:rRNA from 1 species
AUUGAACGCUGGCGGCAUGCCUUACACAUGCAAGUCGAACGGCAGCACGGGUGCUUGCACCUGGUGGCGAGUGGCGAACGGGUGAGUAAUACAUCGGAACGUACCUUAUUGUGGGGGAUAACGCAGCGAAAGCUGUGCUAAUACCGCAUAAUCCCUAAGGGGGAAAGCGGGGGACCGUAAGGCCUCGCGCAAUUAGAGCGGCCGAUACCUGAUUAGCUAGUUGGUGAGGUAAAGGCUCACCAAGGCAACGAUCAGUAGCUGGUCUGAGAGGAGGAUAAGCCACACUGGGACUGAGACACGGCCCAGACUUCUACGGGAGGCAGCAGUGGGAAAUUUUGGACAAGGGGGGCAACCCUGAUCCAGCAAUGCCGCGGGAGUGAAGAAGGCCUUCGGGUUGUAAAGCUCUUUUGUCAGGGAAGAAACAGCAGCUCUAACACAGUAUGCGAAUGACGGUACCUGAAGAAUAAGCACCGGCUAACUACGUGCCAGCCGCCGCCGUAA